UUUUAAAAUUUUCUUCUCUUUGUGUUGUUAAAAACUGACGUGACUAAAGAAUAACCAAAUAAUAACACGUGUUAUACCAUGUGUACUGCCUACUAACAUACAAUGACCAGUUUUUAAUGGUAAAAAUGGAUAAAUUUUUUAAUA
rnacentral:pre_miRNA from 1 species